AGAGAAGGGGACACAAGGAAGGGGUGACACCAAGGAGAAGGUGACACCAAGAAGGUGACACCAAGGAGAGGGUGACACCAAGAAGGUGACACCAAGGAGAAGGUGACACCAAGGACAAGGUGACACCAAGGAAGGGGUGACACCAAGGAGAAGGUGACACCAAGAAGGUGACACCAAGGUGAAGGUGACACCAAAGAGAAGGUGACACCAAGGAGAAGGUGACACCAAGGACAGGGUGACACCAAGGUAGGGGUGACACCAAGGAGAAGGUGACACCAAGAAGAAGGUGACACCAAGGAAGGGGUGACACCAAGGAGAAGGUGACACCAAGAAGGUGACACCAAGGAGAAGGUGACACCAAGAAGAAGGUGACACCAAGGAGAAGGUGACACCAAGAAGAAGGUGACACCAAUGACAAGGUGACACCAAGGACAGGGUGACACCAAGGAAGGGGUGACACCAAGGACAAGGUGACACCAAGGAAGAGGUGACACCAGGAAGGUGACACCAAGGCGGUGCCACCAAGGCCAAGGUGCCCCCUCAUUCCUCCUCUUUCCCCCCUCUUAUCCCCCAAAAAAAGCCCCUUUUGGACCCUCCACCCCCCCCCAGCUCCCAAAACCCCCCAAACCCCGCCCGGGUCCCUCCCGACCCUCUGGAAUUGCCCAACCCUGGGAUGAGUCACCGGGCGCCGCCCUCGGGGUGUCGCAACUUCCCCCCCCCCCGGAUCCCGAGUUUCGGGGGCUUCUUCCCCUUUUUUUUCCGGAGGGUCUCGCCCGUCACGCGGGAGGGGAAGGGGAAGGAGCCGCCGGAGCAGCGGGACACGGAGCAGGAGCGGGAUGGGGAUGGGGAUGGAGCUCCAGCUCCUCAUCCCACUGCUGGCCUCUCUCCAGACCCUCCUCCCUCCGGCGGCACCGGCAGCCUCUCUCCAGCCCCUUUUCCCUCCGGCGGCACCUUCAG